AUUGAACGCUGGCGGCAGGCCUAACACAUGCAAGUCGAACGGUAGCACAGAGAGCUUGCUCUCGGGUGACGAGUGGCGGACGGGUGAGUAACGUCUGGGAAACUGCCCGAUGGAGGGGGAUAACUACUGGAAACGGUAGCUAAUACCGCAUAACGUCGCAAGACCAAAGUGGGGGACCUUCGGGCCUCACACCAUCGGAUGUGCCCAGAUGGGAUUAGCUAGUAGGUGGGGUAAUGGCUCACCUAGGCGACGAUCCCUAGCUGGUCUGAGAGGAUGACCAGCCACACUGGAACUGAGACACGGUCCAGACUCCUACGGGAGGCAGCAGUGGGGAAUAUUGCACAAUGGGCGCAAGCCUGAUUCAGCCAUGCCGCGUGUAUGAAGAAGGCCUUCGGGUUGUAAAGUACUUUCAGCGGGGAGGAAGGCGGUGAAGUUAAUAGCUUCACCGAUUGGCGUUACCCGCAGAAGAAGCACCGGCUAACUCCGUGCCAGCCGCCGCGGUAA
rnacentral:rRNA from 1 species